UACGUAGGGGGCAAGCGUUGUCCGGAAUCAUUGGGCGUAAAGAGCGUGUAGGCGGCCAGAUAAGUCCGCUGUGAAAACUCGAGGCUCAACUUCGAGCUGUCGGUGGAAACUAUUUGGCUAGAGUCCGGAAGAGGAGAGUGGAAUUCCUGGUGUAGCGGUGAAAUGCGUAGAUAUCUGGAGGAACACCGGUGGCGAAGGCGGCAUCCUGGACCAAUACUGACGCUGAGGAGCGAAAGCCAGGGGAGCAAACGGG
rnacentral:rRNA from 1 species